rnacentral:rRNA from 1 species
GACGAACGCUGGCGGCGUGCUUAACACAUGCAAGUCGAACGGAGUUAGCAUUUUCGAAGUGAUUAGUUUACUAAGAGCGGAGAUGUUGUUAACUUAGUGGCGGACGGGUGAGUAACGCGUGGGUAACCUGCCAUAUACAGGGGAAUAACACUUAGAAAUAGGUGCUAAUGCCGCAUAAGCGCACAGUAUCGCAUGAUACAGUGUGAAAAACUCCGGUGGUAUAUGAUGGACCCGCGUCUGAUUAGCUAGUUGGUGGGGUAACGGCCUACCAAGGCGACGAUCAGUAGCCGGCCUGAGAGGGUGAACGGCCACAUUGGGACUGAGACACGGCCCAAACUCCUACGGGAGGCAGCAGUGGGGAAUAUUGCACAAUGGGGGAAACCCUGAUGCAGCGACGCCGCGUGAGUGAAGAAGUAUUUCGGUAUGUAAAGCUCUAUCAGCAGGGAAGAAAAAAUGAACGGUACCUGACUAAGAAGCCCCGGCUAACUACGU